rnacentral:rRNA from 1 species
UACGUAGGGGGCGAGCGUUGUCCGGAUUUAUUGGGCGUAAAGAGCUCGUAGGCGGUUUGGUAAGUUGGAUGUGAAAUCUCCAGGCUCAACUUGGAGGGGUCAUUCGAUACUGCCAUGACUAGAGUUCGGUAGGGGAGUGUGGAAUUCCAGGUGUAGCGGUGAAAUGCGUAGAUAUCUGGAGGAAUACCGGUGGCGAAGGCGGCAUCCUGGACCGGCAUUGACGCUGAGGAGCGAAAGCCAGGGGAGCAAACGGG